GUACACAAAAAUGCACAUGCUGUGAGCUCGAUGAGUAGGGCGGGACACGUGGUAUCCUGUCUGAAUAUGGGGGGACCAUCCUCCAAGGCUAAAUACUCCUGACUGACCGAUAGUGAACCAGUACCGUGAGGGAAAGGCGAAAAGAACCCCGGCGAGGGGAGUGAAAAAGAACCUGAAACCGUGUACGUACAAGCAGUGGGAGCACGCUUAGGCGUGUGACUGCGUACCUUUUGUAUAAUGGGUCAGCGACUUAUAUUCUGUAGCAAGGUUAACCGAAUAGGGGAGCCGAAGGGAAACCGAGUCUUAACUGGGCGUUAAGUUGCAGGGUAUAGACCCGAAACCCGGUGAUCUAGCCAUGGGCAGGUUGAAGGUUGGGUAACACUAACUGGAGGACCGAACCGACUAAUGUUGAAAAAUUAGCGGAUGACUUGUGGCUGGGGGUGAAAGGCCAAUCAAACCGGGAGAUAGCUGGUUCUCCCCGAAAGCUAUUUAGGUAGCGCCUCGUGAACUCAUCUCCGGGGGUAGAGCACUGUUUCGGCAAGGGGGUCAUCCCGACUUACCAACCCGAUGCAAACUGCGAAUACCGGAGAAUGUUAUCACGGGAGACACACGGCGGGUGCUAACGUCCGUCGUGAAGAGGGAAACAACCCAGACCGCCAGCUAAGGUCCCAAAGUCAUGGUUAAGUGGGAAACGAUGUGGGAAGGCCCAGACAGCCAGGAUGUUGGCUUAGAAGCAGCCAUCAUUUAAAGAAAGCGUAAUAGCUCACUGGUCGAGUCGGCCUGCGCGGAAGAUGUAACGGGGCUAAACCAUGCACCGAAGCUGCGGCAGCGACGCUUAUGCGUUGUUGGGUAGGGGAGCGUUCUGUAAGCCUGUGAAGGUGUGCUGUGAGGCAUGCUGGAGGUAUCAGAAGUGCGAAUGCUGACAUAAGUAACGAUAAAGCGGGUGAAAAGCCCGCUCGCCGGAAGACCAAGGGUUCCUGUCCAACGUUAAUCGGGGCAGGGUGAGUCGACCCCUAAGGCGAGGCCGAAAGGCGUAGUCGAUGGGAAACAGGUUAAUAUUCCUGUACUUGGUGUUACUGCGAAGGGGGGACGGAGAAGGCUAUGUUGGCCGGGCGACGGUUGUCCCGGUUUAAGCGUGUAGGCUGGUUUUCCAGGCAAA
rnacentral:rRNA from 1 species